rnacentral:rRNA from 1 species
UACAGAGGUCCCAAGCGUUGUUCGGAAUCACUGGGCGUAAAGGGUGCGUAGGCGGGUUUUUAAGUCAGAGGUGAAAUCCUGGAGCUCAACUCCAGAACUGCCUUUGAUACUGAAAGUCUUGAGUAUGGGAGAGGUGAGUGGAACUGCGAGUGUAGAGGUGAAAUUCGUAGAUAUUCGCAAGAACACCAGUGGCGAAGGCGGCUCACUGGCCCGGUACUGACGCUGAGGUGCGAAAGCGUGGGGAGCGAACCGG